UGUAUGAGUUGCUAUAGUAGCAAGAUUGCGAGGAUCCGAAAAACUUUCUAUCAACGGUAUCGUUCCCAUAGUCCAAUCACAGCAUAAAUCGCUUGGAAGAAAUAGCAGUCUUAAAUUAACUGCUGCGAGGUAAUUAUAGAUACCUGGUAAAUACAGGUAACUUUGAGCCCAUUACAUGUAGUCGAAGAAUAAGUAAACUAAACGUAACGAGCGUAAGAACCGUCAAUCGUUUUGUACCUUCACUGGACCAAGUAAGUGAUAUCUUUUUCCCACCAAAAGCUGCUUUUAAUGUUAGGAAAAUAUCCACUGCUCUUAUCUAAACAAAUAAUAAAAUAUAUAAAUUAAAAAAAAUUUUUAAAUUAUAAUAUCCAUAUAUUAAUUUACCUUUUGUACAACAAAAAUUUCAUAAAAUACACAAACUGCAGUAGCUGUUAUUCCUUGUUCUUUGCAUAACAUGGCAGUGAAAACAAAAAACAUAGACAAUAUCAAAGAUUUCCAUCCUAAAAAUAAAUGUAAUAUUAUUUUAAUAAAUAAUAUUAAUAAUUUACAGUAAUAAAUGUUAAAAAAAUAAAAAGAAUUAAAUACCUGUAGAUCUUCUACUUCUACAGCAUUUAGUAUAUGUGAUUAAAGCCGCUAAGUAAAAUAAGGAGGACAAUGUUUCUGCUCUUCCGACCACUCCUGUAACCUUAAUACACGAUUAUCCACUGACAAUGCAUCUAAACACGAACUAGGAACUACGACGCGAUCGAUCGCUCGACGUCGACCAUUUGAAUCUGGAUACAUUGAUACAUUGUCGCCGAAGAGGAGAACAAGGACUAGAAAUAAUUACCAAAUAAUAUUCUCGUAUAAUUUCAAGGAUGAACCGCAAACAGAAGAGAAGACACAAAAGUUGCAGAAUCGGAUAGAAACAUCAAACAAGUCCUGUAAUAUCAAUUAAUACAUAUUAUUUUAUUUUUAUUUUGAACUAUUUUAUUAUAUAAAAACAAUUUCAAUGAUAUUUUU